rnacentral:miRNA from 1 species
GUGGCUUAGAUUUUUCCAUCUUUGUAUCUAGCACCAUUUGAAAUCAGUGUUUUAGGAGUAAGA